rnacentral:rRNA from 1 species
CCGCCAGAGAACUACAAGUGAAAAACUUGAAACUCAAAGGACUUGACGGUGUCCCAUAUCGGCCUAGAGGAGCCUGUCCUGUAAUCGAUACCCCCCGUUCCACCCAACCUUAACUAGUAAAAUACCAGCCUAUAUACCGCCGUCGACAGUCUACCCUAUGAAGGCCCAACAGUAGACAUAAUAGCCUCCCCCGCUAACACGUCAGGUCAAGGUGUAGCAAAUGUUAAGGAAGAGAUUGGCUACAUUUUUUAAAAUAAAAACACGAAAAGCACUAUGAAACCCUGCAUGAAGGUGAAUUUAGUAGUAAAAU